rnacentral:rRNA from 1 species
UACGUAGGGGGCAAGCGUUGUCCGGAUUUAUUGGGCGUAAAGAGCGUGUAGGCGGUUCGGUAGGUCCGUUGUGAAAACUCGAGGCUCAACCUCGAGACGCCGAUGGAAACCAUCGAACUAGAGUCCGGAAGAGGAGAGUGGAAUUCCGUGGUGUAGCGGUGAAAUGCGCAGAUAUCAGGAAGAACACCCGUGGCGUAAGGCGGCUCUCUAGUACGGUACUGACGCUGAAGACGCGAAAGCGUGGG